UACGUAGGUGGCAAGCGUUGUCCGGAUUUACUGGGCGUAAAGAGCGCGCAGGCGGUCGUACAAGUCGCGUGUGAAAGCCCCCGGCUCAACUGGGGAGGGUCACGCGAUACUGUUCGACUCGAAGGCAGGAGAGGGAAGCAGAAUUCCCGGUGUAGUGGUGAAAUGCGUAGAUAUCGGGAGGAACACCAGUGGCGAAGGCGACUACCUGGCCUGUUCUUGACGCUGAGGCGCGAAAGCUAGGGGAGCAAACGGG
rnacentral:rRNA from 1 species